GAACGGCAGCACGGACUCGGUCUGGUGGCGAGUGGCGAACGGGUGAGUAAUGUAUCGGAACGUGCCGAAGUAGCGGGGAUAACUACGCGAAAGCGUAGCUAAUACCGCAUACGCCCAUCGGGGAAAGCGGGGGACCUUCGGGCCUCGCACUAUUAGAGCGGCCGAUAUCGGAUUAGCUAGUUGGUGGGGUAACGGCUCACCAAGGCGACGAUCCGUAGCUGGUUUGAGAGGACGACCAGCCGCUGGGAUGAGACCACAGCCCGGGCUCCUACGGGAGGCAGCAGUGGGGUACAGACAAUGGGGAAACCCUGAUCCAGCCAUCCCGCGUGUGCGAUGAAGGCCUUCAGGUUGUAAAGCACUUUUGGCAGGAAAGAAACGGCGCGGGAUAAUACCCCGUGCAACUGACAAACACCUGCAGAAUAAGCACCGGCUAACUACGUGCCAGCAGCCGCGGUAAUACGUAGGGUGCAAGCGUUAAUCGGAAUUACUGAGGCGUAAAGCGUGCGCAGGCGGUUCGGAAAGAUGUGAAAUCCCAGAGCUUAACUUUGGAACUGCAUUUUUAACUACCGAGCUAGAGUGUGUAUCAGAGGGAGGUGGAAUUCCGCGUGUAGCAGUGAAAUGCGUAGAUAUGCGGAGGAACACCGAUGGCGAAGGCAGCCUCCUGGGAGGUAACACUGACGCUCAUGCACAACGUGGGGAGCAAACAGGAUUAGAUACCUGGUAGUCCACGCCCUAAACGAUGUCAACUAGCUGUUGGGGCCUUCGGGCCUUGGUAGCGCAGCUAACGCGUGAAGUUGACCGCCUGGGAAGUACGGUCGCAAGAUUAAAACUCAAAGGAAUUCGGCGGGACCCGCACAAGCGGUGGAUGAUGUGGAUUAAUUCGAUGCAACGCAAAAGAGCACCUACCCUUGACAUGUCUGGAAUCCCGAAGAGAUUUGGGAGUGCUCGCAAGAGAACCGGAACACAGGUACUGCAUGGCUGUCGUCAGCUCGUGUCGUGAGAUGUUGGGUUAAGUCCCGCAACGAGCGCAACCCUUGUCGUGGAUUUAUACGAAAGGGCACUCUAAUGAGACUGCCCAUUGUUGACAAACCGGAGGAAGGUGGGGAUGACGUCAAGUCCUCAUGGCCCUUAUGGGUAGGGCUUCACACGUCAUACAAUGGUCGGGACAGAGGGUCGCCAACCCACGAGGGGAGCGUAGUCCAGAAACCCGAUCGUAGUCCGGAUCGCAGUCUGCAACUCGACUGCGUGAAGUGAAUCGCUAGUAAUCGCGGAUCAGCAUGUCGCGGUGAAUACGUUCCCGGGUCUUGUACGCACCGCCCGUCACACCAUGGGAGUGGGUUUUACCAGAAGUAGUUAGCCUAACCGUAAGGAGGGCGAUUACCACGGUAGGAUUCAUGACUGGUGAAGUCGUAACAAGGUAA
rnacentral:rRNA from 1 species